AACGGUUGGUUCUAUGAAAUAUUUCUUUUGAGAGUAGGGAUUUAUACGAUCAUCUCGUCUCUUCAUCCACAUAGAACCAACCCAUUCCCGCAUGGAAAUAGUCCGCAAUAGCUGACAUAGACAGGACCAAAGCAAGAAUCUCAUUUCUUGGAACUCCCAAGAAACCCACAUCUUGUUUUCGUUUUCUUGGUUUAUAAUAUAUCGAACUUCCAUUUCUAACUAUCAUUACCAAGGUUUUUCUUGAGACAUUUUACGACAGUCAUUUCUUUCUCUAUUUUUCAAUUGAGUCUUGGUGCCUAAAUUAAUUCAAAUACUAUAUUAUAUGGCGGAGUAGAAGCCAAAAUCAGCUGAAUGUAAGGAUGUCUCUGUGCCUAUACAAGCUGAAGAGCAGAAAGAAAUGGUUGAAGAGAGAGAAACUGUUGCUUAAAAUUCAGAUGCUGCAACUAAGGCAACUUCAUGUUAACCGAAUGACAAAGAAAAUGAGACUUGCAAAGAUUGAAUGGGAA